UAAGCAAACUACUCAGACAUAGAAUCAAGAACAAAGAACAACAUAGAAGAAGACAUCU
rnacentral:sRNA from 1 species